rnacentral:rRNA from 1 species
UACGUAGGGUGCGAGCGUUGUCCGGAAUUAUUGGGCGUAAAGAGCUCGUAGGCGGCUUGUCGCGUCGGAUGUGAAAGCCCGGGGCUUAACUCCGGGUCUGCAUUCGAUACGGGCAGGCUAGAGUUCGGUAGGGGAGAUCGGAAUUCCUGGUGUAGCGGUGAAAUGCGCAGAUAUCAGGAGGAACACCGGUGGCGAAGACGGAUCUCUGGGCCAUUACUGACGCUGAGGAGCGAAAGCGUGGGGAGCGAACAGG